rnacentral:rRNA from 1 species
AGAGUUUGAUUAUGGCUCAGGAUGAACGCUGGCGGCGUGCUUAACACAUGCAAGUCGAACGAGGUCCAACCUUCGGGUGAAGACCGAGUGGCGAACGGGUGAGUAACACGUGGGGAACCUGCCCUUCUCUCUGGGAUAACCUCGGGAAACCGAAGCUAAUACCGGAUACUCCUUGCGGACCGCAUGGUCUGCUCGGGAAAGCUCCGGCGGAGAAGGAUGGCCCCGCGGCCCAUUAGCUUGUUGGUGGGGUAACGGCCCACCAAGGCGACGAUGGGUAGCCGAGCUGAGAGGCUGAUCGGCCACACUGGGACUGAGACACGGUCCAGACUCCUACGGGAGGCAGCAGUGGGGAAUCUUGCGCAAUGGGCGAAAGCCUGACGCAGCAACGCCGCGUGCGGGAUGAAGGCUCUCGGGUCGUAAACCGCUUUCAGCAGGGAUGAAAAUGACAGUACCUGCAGAAGAAGCCCCGGCUAAAUACGUGCCAGCAGCCGCGGUAAUACGUAUGGGGCAAGCGUUAUCCGGAUUCAUUGGGCGUAAAGCGCGCGUAGGCGGCUUGUUAAGUCAGGCGUGAAAUCCGGGGGCUCAACCCGCGGCUUGCGUCUGAAACUGGCAGGCUUGGGUCUGGUAGAGGAAAGUGGAAUUCCUGGUGUAGCGGUGAAAUGCGCAGAUAUCAGGAGGAACACCAGUGGCGAAGGCGGCUUUCUGGGCCACGACUGACGCUGAGGCGCGAAAGCUAGGGGAGCGAACAGGAUUAGAUACCCUGGUAGUC